CUAGAUAAAGAUCCAUAUCUCCUUAUUAUUAAGUAUAAAUAUAUAUAGUGGAGUUGGAUCCAUUGCAAGAUUACAUAAUUUCAAUCUUGAGAAAUAGAGCAUUACAUAUACAGAAUACAAUGAUUCAUUCUAAACUCUCGUCAGGUCCUAGUAAAACAUACUUUUAUUGUAUUGAUACAGGAAAAAAAAAUGAUAAAUUAUGAACCUUAAUUAGCCUUCAAAUGCUAUUCCAAAUACACAUGCAUAUAUGCAGCAAAUAAUGUAACAAUGAGAAACCACACAUAUAGAAGCUAGCACCCACCACCUCCUCCAUCUCCAC
rnacentral:lncRNA from 1 species